rnacentral:rRNA from 2 species
GGCUCAGGACGAACGCUGGCGGCGUGCCUAAUACAUGCAAGUCGAGCGGACAGAUGGGAGCUUGCUCCCUGAUGUUAGCGGCGGACGGGUGAGUAACACGUGGGUAACCUGCCUGUAAGACUGGGAUAACUCCGGGAAACCGGGGCUAAUACCGGAUGCUUGUUUGAACCGCAUGGUUCARACAUAAAAGGUGGCUUCGGCUACCACUUACAGAUGGACCCGCGGCGCAUUAGCUAGUUGGUGAGGUAACGGCUCACCAAGGCGACGAUGCGUAGCCGACCUGAGAGGGUGAUCGGCCACACUGGGACUGAGACACGGCCCAGACUCCUACGGGAGGCAGCAGUAGGGAAUCUUCCGCAAUGGACGAAAGUCUGACGGAGCAACGCCGCGUGAGUGAUGAAGGUUUUCGGAUCGUAAAGCUCUGUUGUUAGGGAAGAACAAGUGCCGUUCAAAUAGGGCGGCACCUUGACGGUACCUAACCAGAAAGCCACGGCUAACUACGUGCCAGCAGCCGCGGUAAUACGUAGGUGGCAAGCGUUGUCCGGAAUUAUUGGGCGUAAAGGGCUCGCAGGCGGUUUCUUAAGUCUGAUGUGAAAGCCCCCGGCUCAACCGGGGAGGGUCAUUGGAAACUGGGGAACUUGAGUGCAGAAGAGGAGAGUGGAAUUCCACGUGUAGCGGUGAAAUGCGUAGAGAUGUGGAGGAACACCAGUGGCGAAGGCGACUCUCUGGUCUGUAACUGACGCUGAGGAGCGAAAGCGUGGGGAGCGAACAGGAUUAGAUACCCUGGUAGUCCACGCCGUAAACGAUGAGUGCUAAGUGUUAGGGGGUUUCCGCCCCUUAGUGCUGCAGCUAAC